GAAUAUUGCACAAUGGGCGCAAGCCUGAUGCGGCGACGCCGCGUGAGGGAUGACGGCCUUCGGGUUGUAAACCUCUUUCAAUAGGGACGAAGCGCAAGUGACGGUACCUAUAGAAGAAGGACCGGCCAACUACGUGCCAGCCGCCGCGGUAAUACGUAGGGUCCGAGCGUUGUCCGGAAUUACUGGGCGUAAAGAGCUCGUAGGUGGUUUGUCGCGUUGUUCGUGAAAACUCACAGCUUAACUGUGGGCGUGCGGGCGAUACGGGCAGACUAGAGUACUGCAGGGGAGACUGGAAUUCCUGGUGUAGCGGUGGAAUGCGCAGAUAUCAGGAGGAACACCGGUGGCGAAGGCGGGUCUCUGGGCAGUAACUGACGCUGAGGAGCGAAAGCGUGGGGAGCGAACAGG
rnacentral:rRNA from 1 species